AUACACUAUAACUGUAUGGCCUUAUAUUACAUUAUAUACUGUAACUGUGUGACCUUAUAUUAUAUACAGUAACUUUAUGACCUUAUAUUACAUGAUAUACUGUAACUGUAUGGUCUUAUAUAAUAUACUGCAACUGUAUGACCUUAUGAUAUACUGUAACUGUAUGACCUUAUAUCCUGUAACUGUAUGACCUUAUAUAAU